GGGGGCGAACAGGAUUCGACGGAGGUAAUGACACUAAGAUAGCAUGUCGAGGUCCCAUCCACCUCGUUAAAAAGAUGGAAAAAAAGUAAGUGCAGAACAACUGCCACUCGCUGCCUAAUUAAAGGUAUGCCGUUUCUCUUGCAUUUUCCUGCGGUGCUUGAGGAGCGUCGACCAGCAGGAUAGCGGACCGGGGGUGCCUUGGCUUCGGCGAGCGAAAUAUCUCAAGGCUGGUUUGCUGGUAUCUUUCUCCUUCGGAAGCCAGGAAAUGAGAUUAAAGAAGGAGAUAAGCAUGUAGAGAUCUUAAGUUGAAUAUCUUCGGACGCGGGUUCGAUUCCCGCCGCCUCCACCA
rnacentral:tmRNA from 1 species